rnacentral:lncRNA from 1 species
GCUCAGUUUUGUCGCAAAACCUAUAUUGAAGAGUUUUUGAAUGACGAUCAAUUAAGAUGUUUGUCCAAGAAAGGAAAGAACUCUAGAAUCAAUUGGUCAAGUCCAACAGUUAAAAAAACACUAAAAUUAAGCUCAUCAAAAAGUCCAAAGACUAUGAUCAACGGCUAGACAGUCUAAUGGGGCAGGUUACUUUUCCAGAGCACACAGGCGAAUAUACGACACAUAUUCUUGUGAUCAUACUCGCUGGAAUUGCAAGUAGAUGAAAGCAAGUUGUUGGUUAUUUCUUUACUCAAGAUCCAGUUAAUGGGUCUGUACUGAAUAAAAAGGAUGUCGUCAAAAGAGCUUCUAAAAUGUGGUCUGUGUGUAAGAUCAAUUAUCACAGAUAUGGGUCCAUCAAACCAGGCAAUGUUCUGUUGGUAAGGAGUUAAUUUAGGAAGAAGAAAUGAAAUUGUCAACAUCGUCCCUCAUCAAGCAAAUCCGAAAGAAAAUUUAUACUUUCUUUAUGAUCUUCCUCAUCUUCUAAAAAAUCUUCCAAUAUUCUUAGUAAACAAUAUUGAAAGACAUUUAUCAAACCAUAUUUUUCUGUAAAACAUCUUCAAAAACUAGUAGAGUUAGCAAAAGUUCAGGUAUUGGAAAUUGUUCCAAAGCUUUCUGAAAGUGUCAUACACCCCAGCUACUUUAAAAAAUGAAUGCUGAUGCAAUAACUUUUUUCCCCAUGCAACAAGUGCAAGCCUGAAAUAUUCGGCAAUCCAGGAUUCUGAUGGGUCAAUCUUAUUAAUGACAGAAUUUAUUGAUCUGAUUCGUUCCUGGUUCGAACUCAUGACCUCUCCAUCACCAAUGAUGGUUUUAAGUCAUCAAAAUCUUGACAAAUAUAAUGUUAACUAUUCAAACUUUAAAAAAGGUAAUCCAAGUCAUUUGUCUAUGUCUUGUAGGGAAAAAGUUUAUUGGAAGCUAUGGCAUACUGGUAUCGACAUUUUGUCGACAACUUCCAUCCUUCAGUUGCACAAGGAACUCCUAGAUGAAAGAUUUUCAUUCAUUUUAACUGGAAGAUUUACUCAAGAUGCCGUGGAAAAUUUAUUCAGCCUUAUUAGGUACAAGAGCCCAACUCCAACAUCAUUAGAGGCUCAAAAUAAUCUUGGAAUAAUUGUUUUAACUAAGCUCACGGAGGAAA